GACAGAGGGUGCGAACGUUGUUCGGAAUUACUGGGCGUAAAGCGCGUGUAGGCGGCAGCGCAAGUCGGGCGUGAAAUCCCACGGCUCAACCGUGGAAGUGCACUCGAAACUGCACAGCUAGAGUCCUGGAGAGGAAGGUGGAAUGCUUGGUGUAGAGGUGAAAUUCGUAGAUAUCAAGCGGAACACCGGUGGCGAAGGCGACCUUCUGGACAGUGACUGACGCUGAGACGCGAAAGCGUGGGGAGCAAACAGG
rnacentral:rRNA from 1 species